GACGAACGCUGGCGGCGUGCCUAAUACAUGCAAGUAGAACGCUGAAGAGAGGAGCUUGCUCUUCUUGGAUGAGUUGCGAACGGGUGAGUAACGCGUAGGUAACCUGCCUUGUAGCGGGGGAUAACUAUUGGAAACGAUAGCUAAUACCGCAUAACAAUGGAUGACCCAUGUCAUUUAUUUGAAAGGGGCAAAUGCUCCACUACAAGAUGGACCUGCGUUGUAUUAGCUAGUAGGUGAGGUAACGGCUCACCUAGGCGACGAUACAUAGCCGACCUGAGAGGGUGAUCGGCCACACUGGGACUGAGACACGGCCCAGACUCCUACGGGAGGCAGCAGUAGGGAAUAUUCGGCAAUGGGGGCAACCCUGACCGAGCAACGCCGCGUGAGUGAAGAAGGUUUUCGGAUCGUAAAGCUCUGUUGUAAGUCAAGAACGAGUGUGAGAGUGGAAAGUUCACACUGUGACGGUAGCUUACCAGAAAGGGACGGCUAACUACGU
rnacentral:rRNA from 1 species